rnacentral:rRNA from 1 species
UACAGAGGUCUCAAGCGUUGUUCGGAUUCAUUGGGCGUAAAGGGUGUGUAGGUGGCGCCGUAAGUCGGGUGUGAAAUUUCGGAGCUUAACUCCGAAACUGCAUUCGAUACUGCGGUGCUUGAGGACUGGAGAGGAGACUGGAAUUCCUGGUGUAGCGGUGAAAUGCGCAGAUAUCAGGAGGAACACCGAUGGCGAAGGCAGGUCUCUGGGCCAUAACUGACGCUGAGAAGCGAAAGCAUGGGGAGCGAACAGG